rnacentral:lncRNA from 1 species
AAUUCCAAACUCAAAUCCGUAAACUUCAACCCUGCAAGUUUUAUAUGCCUUUUUUGAUAUUCAAAAGAUGAAAAGAGUCUUAAUAUGUUACCAUAAUGCAAAAUAAGAAGACAUACCUUCAAAACUAAAAGUGAAAAGAAAUGAAUAUUUUCCCAAAAGUUGGUCCAUAUCCUCCUGCAGUGGCCAGAGAGACAGGAUUUUCAUCGAGAUGUAAAAAAAUAAAAAAGGUAAACACAUGAAGAAAGUCAAUGUCAUUCAAUAUUUAAUAUAUAUAUACAUACAAAAAAUAUUGACUUUAUAUAUGCGGUGUAAUUUUUUGGCCGAAUGCUCUUCUCAUGUUUCAGGAACAAACUUUAAGCUUUCAAGAUUUCUCAACCUAUUUAUUAUUGUUACUUAACUAUUCUAUUUGUUUCCUUUAACAGCAUAUUGGGAUCCAUUUUGGUUAUUAUUGGCUUGUAUUUUCUUCUGUGGGGUAAAAGCAAAGAAGCCGAGAUUUACAAGAAUCCUCCAGCAACAGAAAAGAAUGGACAGUCUGCACUACCAAUUACUGCAAGUCCAACUCAUAUUUAAAACUAAUGUCAUUUUUCCUUUCUUUACCAGGGCAACUACUUCUAAUGUAUCCAGGACUAACUAUAUAAUUAACAUGUAAUAAGUGCGUUCGAAAAUGAAUCAGUAACUAACUCUUAAAAUACUUCAAACAUUUCUAAAUUUACAUUCUGCAGAUUUUAUUCACAUGCUGAAAUAACAACUAUCAUAUCAAACAUCAUUUGUCCUCAAGCAUAGUAUCAUAUCAUCUCUGGUGCAUGAUAGGAAAUAAGAAUGUGCUUCGGGACGAAAUGAAACUGCAGUUAACCAAAAGAUCAAGGUUAAGUGUACCAACAGAUAUGAAAAUUUUGAAUGAGCAGGAAUGAUGAUGCAAACAAAAUAUAUACCUUGAUACUGAGAUAAUAGCAAAGUCAGAUUAUACAUAUGCUUUAUAUACAAACUAAUGAUCAGUUGAUCCAACUUGAAGCCAAAGAACUCGUGUCUAGCUGAAUGCAUUUGAAGAUGCAUAUUUCAACUCUAGCAUAAGGAUUUACCUUUAAUUAUAUGAGCUUAUAGAGAUCUUUGUAGUAAAAAAUUUAAAAUAACAAAUUUUGAUUCAACAGAACGUAUGAUGGAG